rfam:Haloferax sp. SB29 contig_69, whole genome shotgun sequence.
ACGGGAAUCCAGCACGGCCGCAAAUCUGACGUGCCCACAUGAGUGGGCUUGGGAUUGCGGUAGUGC